rnacentral:tRNA from 1 species
GCGAAGGUGGCGGAAUUGGCAGACGCGCUAGCCUUAGGAGCUAGUGGGGAAUACCCGUGCGGGUUCGAGUCCCGCCCUUCGCACCA